GACGAACGCUGGCGGCGUGCCUAAUACAUGCAAGUUGAGCGCUGAAGGUUGGUACUUGUACCAACUGGAUGAGCAGCGAACGGGUGAGUAACGCGUGGGGAAUCUGCCUUUGAGCGGGGGACAACAUUUGGAAACGAAUGCUAAUACCGCAUAAAAACUUUAAACACAAGUUUUAAGUUUGAAAGAUGCAAUUGCAUCACUCAAAGAUGAUCCCGCGUUGUAUUAGCUAGUUGGUGAGGUAAAGGCUCACCAAGGCGAUGAUACAUAGCCGACCUGAGAGGGUGAUCGGCCAAAAUGGGACUGAGACACGGCCCAAACUCCUACGGGAGGCAGCAGUAGGGAAUCUUCGGCAAUGGACGAAAGUCUGACCGAGCAACGCCGCGUGAGUGAAGAAGGUUUUCGGAUCGUAAAACUCUGUUGGUAGAGAAGAACGUUGGUGAGAGUGGAAAGCUCAUCAAGUGACGGUAACUACCCAGAAAGGGACGGCUAACUACGUG
rnacentral:rRNA from 1 species